rnacentral:misc_RNA from 1 species
GAACUUGUGACUUUUCGGGCACUGCCAAUGUGGUCACCACAGAUCCAUCUGGAGCUGGCUGUACUUAUCCUGCAACUCCAAGUGCUGCAGGGACAUCAGGCACUCCAUCCACCACCCCAGGAUCAUCUACACCUGGUACACCUGGCAGCACCUUCACACCAGGGACUGGGACUGGAGUGAUUAAUGGACUUGGCCCUACAGGAUC